rnacentral:rRNA from 1 species
GAUGAACGCUGGCGGCGUGCCUAAUACAUGCAAGUCGAGCGAACAGACGAGGAGCUUGCUCCUCUGACGUUGGCGGCGGACGGGUGAGUACCACGUGGAUAACCUACCUAUCAGACUGGGAUAACUUCGGGAAACCGGAGCUAAUACCGGAUAAUAUAUUGAACCGCAUGGUUCAAUAGUGAAAGACGGUUUUGCUGUCACUUAUAGAUGGCUCCGCGCCGCAUUAGCUAGUUGGUAAGGUAACGGCUUACCAAGGCAACGAUGCGUAGCCGACCUGAGAGGGUGAUCGGCCACACUGGAACUGAGACACGGUCCAGACUCCUACGGGAGGCAGCAGUAGGGAAUCUUCCGCAAUGGGCGAAAGCCUGACGGAGCAACGCCGCGUGAGUGAUGAAGGUCUUCGGAUCGUAAAACUCUGUUAUUAGGGAAGAACAAAUGUGUAAGUAACUAUGCACGUCUUGACGGUACCUAAUCAGAAAGCCACGGCUAACUACGUG